rnacentral:rRNA from 1 species
CGUACACUCCUACGGGAGGCAGCAGUGGGGAAUAUUGCACAAUGGGCGCAAGCCUGAUGCAGCCAUGCCGCGUGUAUGAAGAAGGCCUUCGGGUUGUAAAGUACUUUCAGCGGGGAGGAAGGCGAUAAGGUUAAUAACCUUGUUGAUUGACGUUACCCGCAGAAGAAGCACCGGCUAACUCCGUGCCAGCAGCCGCGGUAAUACGGAGGGUGCAAGCGUUAAUCGGAAUUACUGGGCGUAAAGCGCACGCAGGCGGUCUGUCAAGUCGGAUGUGAAAUCCCCGGGCUCAACCUGGGAACUGCAUUCGAAACUGGCAGGCUAGAGUCUUGUAGAGGGGGGUAGAAUUCCAGGUGUAGCGGUGAAAUGCGUAGAGAUCUGGAGGAAUACCGGUGGCGAAGGCGGCCCCCUGGACAAAGACUGACGCUCAGGUGCGAAAGCGUGGGGAGCAAACAGGAUUAGAUACCCCUGUAGUCCCAUGAU